rnacentral:rRNA from 1 species
UACAGAGGGUGCAAGCGUUGUUCGGAAUUAUUGGGCGUAAAGGGCGUGUAGGCGGUUUGCUAAGUCAUGUGUGAAAUCCCUCGGCUUAACCGAGGAACGACGCAUGAAACUGGCAAGCUAGAGUACCAAAGAGGGGGGUGGAAUUCCAGGUGUAGCGGUGAAAUGCGUAGAUAUCUGGAGGAACACCGGUGGCGAAGGCGGCAUCCUGGACCAAUAUUGACGCUGAGGGGCGAAAGCCAGGGGAGCAAACGGG